rnacentral:rRNA from 1 species
GAUGAACGCUGGCGGCGUGCCUAAUACAUGCAAGUCGAGCGAACGGACGAGAAGCUUGCUUCUCUGAUGUUAGCGGCGGACGGGUGAGUAACACGUGGAUAACCUACCUAUAAGACUGGGAUAACUUCGGGAAACCGGAGCUAAUACCGGAUGAUAUUUUGAACCGCAUGGUUCAAAAGUGAAAGACGGUCUUGCUGUCUCUUUUAGAGGAUCCCGCGCUGAUUUAGCUAGUUGGUAAGGUAACGGCUUACCAAGGCACCGAUGCAUAGCCGACCUGAGAGGGUGAUCGGCCACACUGGAACUGAGACACGGUCCAGACUCCUACGGGAGGCAGCAGUAGGGAAUCUUCCGCAAUGGGCGAAAGCCUGACGGAGCAACGCCGCGUGAGUGAUGAAGGUCUUCGGAUCGUAAAACUCUGUUAUUAGGGAAGAACAUAUGUGUAAGUAACUGUGCACAUCUUGACGGUACCUAAUCAGAAAGCCACGGCUAACUACGU